CACUUGUAGUCCUGGAGCUCCUGCAGAGCUUUUAUUCUGGCAUUUGGAAAGUGUAAUUUUAGUAGAUUUCCAUGUGUGAACGUUGGAGACGUACAGUAGUUUGUGGGUAGAUUAGUGCAUUUCCCAGUACAUUGAUCUAAUUCUCUGUUAUUGUGUGUGUGUGUCAGGGUCAGCUGCUGCCUGCAUCACUGCUUCAUGAAUCUCCAGGUUUCUGCAGUAAUUCAUCACCUGGCCAAUCAUCCCAGCACUUACAGGGUUGCUGGUUCAAGUCCCGCUGGUGGCUCCUAACUCGUCCUUUGAUCGACGGGCGUCCCACCCAGAGGGGUUUACACCACCGUACGCCCUUUGACCCUUUACAGGAUAAACAGACCCCUAUACAAAUGGAAGCGAUCGCCGUGAUCACCCAGCCAAUAGGCUUCUACUUCCUGUUUUUGAGACUGUCAAUCAAAGUGAAUGCAGAACUGUGCUUGAAAACAAGGCCGUGCGUCACAACAGCAAACAGGUAAAUAUAAUUAUUGUUCUUACCUGACCCAUAGACAUAUAUCAAUGUGACCUGAUGCGACCUUGUUAUGUUCCACGAUGCGCAUGCUGAAAAGUAGAGGCGUGGCUUCUGGUAGAUUGUCAGAGGUAGGAGGAGGAAGUGAGGCUGUUUAGGGCGGGACAUCGAGACUUUUUUCAGAAACUCCAGAAAUCAGCUUUAAUCAAUACAUAAUUAAUAACCUCACCAACCUUCCUCCAUUAAUAAACAGAUUUUUACUAUUUUCA
rnacentral:lncRNA from 1 species